GACGAACGCUGGCGGCGUGCUUAACACAUGCAAGUCGAACGGAAAGGCCUCUUUCGGGGGGUACUCGAGUGGCGAACGGGUGAGUAACACGUGAGUAACCUGCCCUUGACUUUGGGAUAACUUCAGGAAACUGGGGCUAAUACCGGAUAGGAGCUCCUGCUGCAUGGUGGGGGUUGGAAAGUUUCGGCGGUUGGGGAUGGACUCGCGGCUUAUCAGCUUGUUGGUGGGGUAGUGGCUUACCAAGGCUUUGACGGGUAGCCGGCCUGAGAGGGUGACCGGCCACAUUGGGACUGAGAUACGGCCCAGACUCCGACGGGAGGCAGCAGUGGGGAAUAUUGCACAAUGGGUGGAAGCCUGAUGCAGCAACGCCGUGUGCGGGAUGACGGCCUUCGGGUUGGAAACCGCUUUCGCUCAUGACGAAGCUUUGUGUGACGGUAGUGGGUAAAGAAGCACCGGCUAACUACGUG
rnacentral:rRNA from 1 species